AUAUCGGGGGUGCACUGGCACAGAGGAAAGGCCAUGUGAAGCAAGAAGGCAGCCAUCUGCAAGCCAAGGAGAGAAAUUUCAGAAGGAACCAACCCUACCGACAUCUUGAUCUUGGACUUUAAGCUGCCAGACCUUUUAUACAUUUUCUACAGAAAAUGCACCCCAUCAUUGCUUAUAGCCCACCCACGUGGACUGCUCAUUCUGUGAAUCAUGUUUUACAGAAAUUGCCUUGAUGUUAGGAAUUAAAAAAACAAAACAAAACAAAAAACAUGGAGCCGUAUUCUCCAGAAGCUUACAUCUGAUUUAACGAGACAGCAAUAGGAAGCCAAAGGGUCCCUGCAGAGGAGGGUUGCAGCACGAUAACUCUACAGCUGGACAGAGACAGAUUGCAGGGGAGCAAGAAUGAAUGGCAGGCCAGCUGCCAGAAGCUUCUCACUCCGUGGAGACCUUGGAGUCGAGGAUGAAAUGUCUUACAACUGUGGGGAGACCUUGGCUUUUCCAAAGCCUACCAGGGUCCAGGACUUGGAAGCUAAGGCCCAGAGAGGAGGAGAAACUUGAUCAAAGUCAAUCAGACAAUGCAGAAUCGAGAAAAGUACCUGGACCUCUAUGCCCAUGCUUCUAGCAGCCAGCCUCCUAAAAUACCUCUAGUUGAAGCCAAAGUUAGAAUCCUUCUACGAAACUACAGGAUUAAAAUGGAAUGGUUACAUGACCCAGGCUUGACCAAUCAGAUCAUCCAAACCCUUUGCCACAGUGAUUGGUCCAGGGAUACAUGCAUGAGCCAGCUCAGGCCUAAGCCACACUCAUCUUGUGGAUGACACUGGAGCUGUGACAGUCUGUUCUGUCCAGGCAGGGUGUCUUUUAUUUUUAUUGGAAAUAAGAUUAUCACAGUACGCAAGGCCCAAACAAUUGGUGAUAAUGAAGAAACUCUACUACCAGACGUUGCGGGAUGCCUCAAUGACCUAAUCCAGUAAAUCACAGCUCCAGCUGUCCAUGAGCUCUGUCUACCAUCUGAGGAAUUGUUUCUUUUUAAUACAAAGACUGGCACUCAUCAGAUAAUAAUUUCUGGGAUAGAAGCAAAGUAUUGGUAUUUCUUUAAGUCUCUUGAAGGUGAUUCUACUGAGCUGGGAUUAAGAACACACUGCCUUAAUCCUUUCAUCAUCAACAAAA
rnacentral:lncRNA from 1 species